rnacentral:rRNA from 1 species
CUUGGUCAUUUAGAGGAAGUAAAAGUCGUAACAAGGUCUCCGUUGGUGAACCAGCGGAGGGAUCAUUACCGAGUUUACAACUCCCAAACCCCUGUGAACAUACCUUUAUGUUGCCUCGGCGGAUCAGCCCGCGCCCCGUAAAACGGGACGGCCCGCCGCAGGAACCACAAAACUCUGAUUUUAGUGUAACUUCUGAGUCUAAAAAACAAAUAAAUCAAAACUUUCAACAACGGAUCUCUUGGUUCUGGCAUCGAUGAAGAACGCAGCAAAAUGCGAUAAGUAAUGUGAAUUGCAGAAUUCGGUGAAUCAUCGAAUCUUUGAACGCACAUUGCGCCCGCCAGUAUUCUGGCGGGCAUGCCUGUUCGAGCGUCAUUUCAACCCUCAAGCCCCCGGGUUUGGUGUUGGGGAUCGGCGAGCCUCACGGCAAGCCGGCCCCGAAAUACAGUGGCGGUCUCGCUGCAGCUUCCAUUGCGUAGUAGUAAAACCCUCGCAACUGGUACGCGGCGCGGCCAAGCCGUUAAACCCCCAACUUCUGAAUGUUGACCUCGGAUCAGGUAGGAAUACCCGCUGAACUUAAGCAUAUCAAUAAGCGGAGAA